rnacentral:rRNA from 1 species
UGGGGAAUAUUGCGCAAUGGGGGGAACCCUGACGCAGCCAUGCCGCGUGAAUGAAGAAGGCCUUAGGGUUGUAAAGUUCUUUCGGUAUUGAGGAAGGUUGAUGUGUUAAUAGCACAUCAAAUUGACGUUAAAUACAGAAGAAGCANNGGCAAAACNNCGUGCCAGCAGCCGCGGUAAUACGGAGGGUGCGAGCGUUAAUCGGAAUAACUGGGCGUAAAGGGCACGCAGGCGGUUAUUUAAGUGAGGUGUGAAAGCCCCGGGCUUAACCUGGGAAUUGCAUUUCAGACUGGGUAACUAGAGUACUUUAGGGAGGGGUAGAAUUCCACGUGUAGCGGUGAAAUGCGUAGAGAUGUGGAGGAAUACCGAAGGCGAAGGCAGCCCCUUGGGAAUGUACUGACGCUCAUGUGCGAAAGCGUGGGGAGCAAACAGGAUUAGAUACCCUGGUAGUCCACGCUGUAAACGCUGUCGAUUUGGGGGUUGGGGUUUAACUCUGGCGCCCGUAGCUAACGUGAUAAAUCGACCGCCUGGGGAGUACGGCCGCAAGGUUA